AUUGGGAGUGUCAUUGUUAAGGCAGUAGUACCAGUAAAUAACCAAUAGGUGUCAGUAAUCCGCGGGAGAGCUUCGCUGCAUAUUUCUCUUCAAGAUUGAAUCGCAACCAAAUCCUCGUCGAGCAACACGUCCACUGAGCAACCAUGUCUGUGUCCUUAAAGGAACUCUGUCAGGUACAGAGUGGAACGAUGAACUUGAAAAUCAAGCAUUCUGAUGACUGGCGUCCCCAUCCGAGUCACCACCUCAGACAACAACAGUCAUAAACUCACAAACACAAAUACACUCAGUAAUGCGCUUAAUAAAGAAAGACUUAACUAUGA